CCCAGGGGAGGAGGUGAAAUUCCUCAGCUCUCCACCAAGAUUGGCCACAAAAGCCUGAUCCCCUGGAACACAGCAGGCCUCACAUAGACGGUCAGCCAUUGGAUCAUAGGAACUGCCCUGGCCUGACUCACCCAAUAUGGAGGAGGUGCCUGGGGAUGCCCUGUGUGAACACUUUGAGGCCAACAUACUUACCCAGAACCGCUGUCAGAACUGCUUCCACCCUGAGGAGGCCCAUGGAGCAAGAUACCAGGAGCUCAGGAGCCCUUCAGGUGCUGAGGUGCCCUACUGCGACCUGCCUCGAUGUCCACCUGCCCCUGAGGACCCACUCAGCGCCUCAACCUCCGGCUGCCAGUCUGUGGUGGACCCGGGCCUCAGGCCAGGGCCCAAGAGGACUGGGACGCUGUUGAGAGGCAGGAGGAGGCCCCCAGCUGGGACGAGCUCGCAGUGAUGAUCCCGAGGAGGCCUCGGGAGGGGCCGAGAGCUGACAGCUCCCAAAGGGCUCCGUCUCUCCUCACCAGGUCCCCUGUGGGAGGAGAUGCUGCAGGCCAGAAAAAGGAGGACACCGGCGGUGGGGGCCGGAGUGCAGGACAGCACUGGGCAAGGCUCCGGGGAGAAAGCGGGUUGUCCCUGGAGCGGAACCGGUCAACACUGACCCAGGCUUCCUCCAUGACACCACACAGUGGACCUCGAAGCACCACGUCUCAGGCUUCUCCUGCCCAAAGGGACACUGCUCAGGCUGCCUCUACACGUGAAAUCCCCAGAGCCUCCUCUCCCCAUCGAAUCACCCAAAGGGACACCUCCAGGGACUCAUCCACCCAAGAGGACACCCCCAGGGCCUCAUCUACACAGUGGAACACCCCCGGAGCUUCCUCUCCCUCACGAAGCACCCAACUGGAUAACCCCAGAACCUCUUCUACCCAGCAGGACAACCCCCAAACUUCUUUUCCUACUUGUACUCCCCAGCGGGAAAACCCCAGGACACCCUGUGUCCAGCAGGACGAUCCCAGAGCCUCCUCUCCCAACAAAACCACUCAACGAGAGAAUUCCAGAACAUCCUGUGCCCAGCGGGACAAUCCCAAAGCCUCCAGAACCUCCUCUCCCAAUAGAGCCACACGAGACAACCCCAGAACAUCCUGCGCCCAGCGGGACAAUCCCAGAGCCUCCUCUCCCAAUAGAGCUACACGAGACAACCCCACAACAUCCUGUGCCCAGCGGGACAAUCCCAGAGCCUCCAGAACCUCCUCUCCCAAUAGAGCCACACGAGACAACCCCAGAACAUCCUGCGCCCAGCGGGACAAUCCCAGAGCCUCCUCUCCCAAUAGAGCUACACGAGACAACCCCACAACAUCCUGUGCCCAGCGGGACAAUCCCAGAGCCUCCAGAACCUCCUCUCCCAAUAGAGCCACACGAGAUAACCCCAGAACAUCCUGUGCCCAGCAGGACAAUCCCAGAGCCUCCUCUCCCAACAGAACCAUCCAACAAGAGAACCCCAGAACAUCCUGUGCCCGACGGGACGAUCCCAGAGCCUCCUCUCGCAACAGAACCAUCCAGCGAGACAACCCCAGAACAUCCUGUGCCCAGCGGGACAAUCCCAGAGCCUCCUCUCCUAACAGAACCAUCCAACAAGAGAACCUCAGAACAUCCUGUACCCGACAGGACAAUCCCAGGACCUCCUCUCCCAAUAGAGCCACACGAGACAACCCCAGAACAUCCUGUGCCCAGCGGGACAAUCUCAGAGCCUCCUCUCCCAUCAGAGCCACCCAACAGGACAACCCCAGAACUUGUAUUCAACAGAACAUCCCCAGAUCAUCUUCUACCCAACAAGACAACCCUAAAACCUCUUGUACCAAACGAGAUAACCUCAGACCCACUUGUACACAGUGGGACCGCACACAGUCCUUUUCCUUUCAACGAGACAACCCUGGAACCUCCUCAUCUCAAUGCUGCACCCAAAAGGAGAAGCUGAGACCAUCAUCUCCCCACCGCUCCACUCAAUGGAACAAUCCCAGGAAUUCAUCUCCCUAUCGUACUAACAAAGACAUCCCCUGGGCCUCGUUUCCCCUCCGGCCAACUCAGAGUGAUGGUCCCCGAACCUCUUCCCCAUCUCGCUCCAAGCAAAGCGAGGUUCCCUGGGCAUCCAUCGCCCUCCGGCCAACCCAAGGUGACAGGCCUCAGACAUCCUCUCCCAGCAGGCCAGCCCAGCAUGACCCACCCCAGUCCUCCUUUGGCCCCACCCAGUACAACUUGCCAUCCCGGGCCACCUCUUCCUCCCAUAACCCAGGCCACCAGAGCACCUCCCGAACUUCCUCACCUGUGUACCCCGCUGCCUAUGGGGCUCCCCUGACCUCUCCUGAGCCCUCCCAGCCUCCAUGUGCUGUGUGCAUUGGGCACCGGGAUGCCCCUCGAGCCUCUUCGCCCCCUCGCUAUUUGCAGCAUGACCCCUUCCCCUUCUUCCCAGAGCCUCGCGCCCCUGAGAGUGAACCGCCCCACCAUGAGCCUCCCUAUAUACCACCUGCUGUGUGCAUUGGACACCGAGAUGCCCCCCGGGCGUCCUCGCCCCCCCGCCACACCCAAUUUGACCCCUUCCCCUUCCUCCCAGACACAUCAGAUGCCGAGCAUCAGUGUCAGUCCCCCCAACACGAGCCCCUUCAGCUCCCUGCACCUGUGUGUAUUGGGUACCGAGAUGCACCCCGGGCCUCCUCCCCACCACGCCAGGCCCCAGAGCCUUCCCUCUUAUUCCAGGACCUCCCCAGGGCCAGCACAGAGAGCCUUGUCCCUUCCAUGGACUCUCUGCACGAGUGCCCCCACAUCCCCACUCCUGUGUGCAUUGGGCACCGGGAUGCACCCUCCUUUUCAUCCCCACCACGCCAGGCUCCUGAGCCAUCCCUCUUCUUCCAGGAUCCCCCUGGAACUAGUAUGGAGAGCCUGGCCCCCUCCACUGACUCUCUGCAUGGCUCCCCAGUGCUGAUCCCCCAAGUGUGCAUUGGGCACCGGGAUGCACCCCGAGCCUCCUCCCCACCCCGCCACCCACCCAGUGACCUAGCGUUCCUGGCACCCUCACCUUCAGCGGGCAGCUCUGGGGGCUCCCGGGGCUCAGCGCCUCCUGGGGAGACCAGGCACAACUUGGAGCGGGAUGAGUACACUGUGCUGGCCGACCUGCCCCCACCCAGGAGGCUGGCCCAGAGACAGCCAGGGCCCCAGGCGCAGUGCAGCAGCGGGGGCCGCACCCGCAGCCCUGGCCGCGCAGAGGUGGAGCGCCUCUUCGGGCAAGAGCGCAGGUGAGCCCGGGGGUGGGGUCAGCCAGGUGGGCUGGGGAGGAGGCUCGGCAGCAGGACAGGUGAAGGC
rnacentral:sRNA from 1 species